AACGAACGCUGGCGGCAUGCCUAACACAUGCAAGUCGAACGAGACCUUCGGGUCUAGUGGCGCACGGGUGCGUAACGCGUGGGAAUCUGCCCUUGGGUUCGGAAUAACAGUUAGAAAUGACUGCUAAUACCGGAUGAUGACGUAAGUCCAAAGAUUUAUCGCCCAAGGAUGAGCCCGCGUAGGAUUAGCUAGUUGGUAAGGUAAAGGCUUACCAAGGCGACGAUCCUUAGCUGGUCUAAGAGGAUGAUCAGCCACACUGGGACUGAGACACGGCCCAGACUCCUACGGGAGGCAGCAGUGGGGAAUAUUGGACAAUGGGCGAAAGCCUGAUCCAGCAAUGCCGCGUGAGUGAUGAAGGCCUUAGGGUUGUAAAGCUCUUUCAGUGGGGAAGAUAAUGACGGUACCCACAGAAGAAGCCCCGGCUAACUCCGUGCCAGCAGCCGCCGUAACAC
rnacentral:rRNA from 1 species